rnacentral:rRNA from 1 species
CCCCUAGAUGUUCUGGGCCGCACGCGCGCUACACUGAACAGUUCAACAAGUCUUAACCUUGGCCGAUAGGUCUGGGUAAUCUUUGAACGCUGUUCGUGAUUGGGAUAGACCUUUGCAAUUAUGGGUCUUCAACGAGGAAUUCCUAGUAAACGCAAGUCAUCAGCUUGCAUUGAUUACGUCCCUGCCCUUUGUACACACCGCCCGUCACACCUACCGAUUGAAUGGUCCGGUGAAAUCUCGGGACGGCGGCUUGGUCGCUUGCGUCCGACUGCUGAAACUUGAUUAAACCAUAUCAUUUAGAGGAAGGUGAAGUCGUAGCA